AUUGGGAAACCAAUCAUCCACCGACGCCGUCACAAUGAGCAACGAAUACGAUUAUCUCUUCAAACUUUUACUCAUCGGAGACUCCUCCGUCGGAAAAUCAUGCCUUCUUCUCCGAUUUGCUGAUGAUUCUUAUGUGGAUAGUUACAUAAGCACAAUUGGAGUUGACUUUAAAAUUAGGACUGUUGAGCAGGAUAGGAAGACCAUCAAGCUGAAGAUAGU